AUCCAGCUGACGAGUCCCAAAUAGGGCGAAACGCACGUCCUGGAU
rfam:Schistosoma haematobium scaffold1580_1, whole genome shotgun sequence.